CACGAAGGAGAGGGACAGAGAAAGGGACAAACAAGACAGACCUCCGGCAGGCUGCCGGCUUGAGAAGACCAGCGCACCCAUCAGGAAGGGGCCCGGAGCAUCCGGUCUAGUGGGAGCUCGCGCCACCCGUACCUGACUGGCCACCAUUUAUGGAGCACAUGCUUAUUCUGGGGGUUUUGCUGGUUACCUGGAGGAAGGAGUCGUUUAUAACCAGGGGAACUUAG